AAGUCAGAAUCGACUGGAUGGCAGUCGGUUGGUCUGUCCAUCGGUCGGUCAGUCGGUCGGUCGGUUAGUUGGUUGGUG
rnacentral:pre_miRNA from 1 species